rnacentral:rRNA from 1 species
CCUAGGGGGGCUGCAGUGGGGAAUAUUGCACCAUGGGCGCAAGCCUGAUGCAGCCAUGCCGCGUGUGUGAAGAAGGCCUUCGGGUUGUAAAGCACUUUCAGCGGGGAGGAAGGCGUUAAGGUUAAUAACCUUGGCGAUUGACGUUACCCGCAGAAGAAGCUCCGGCUAACUCCGUGCCAGCAGCCGCGGUAAUACGGAGGGUGCAAGCGUUAAUCGGAAUUACUGGGUGUAAAGCGCACGCAGGCGGUCUGUCAAGUCGGAUGUGAAAUCCCCGGGCUCAACCUGGGAACUGCAUUCGAAACUGGCAGGCUAGAGUCUUGUAGAGGGGGGUAGAAUUCCAGGUGUAGCGGUGAAAUGCGUAGAGAUCUGGAGGAAUACCGGUGGCGAAGGCGGCCCCCUGGACAAAGACUGACGCUCAGGUGCGAAAGCGUGGGGAGCAAACAGGAUUAGAUACCCGAGUAGUC